rnacentral:rRNA from 1 species
AGUGAACGCUGGCGGUAGGCCUAACACAUGCAAGUCGAACGGCAGCCCAGUAAGAGCUUGCUCUUACGGGUGGCGAGUGGCGGACGGGUGCGGAAUACAUCGGAAUCUACUUUUUCGUGGGGGAUAACGUAGGGAAACUUACGCUAAUACCGCAUACGACCUACGGGUGAAAGAAGGGGAUCUUCGGACCUUGCGCGAUUGAAUGAGCCGAUGUCGGAUUAGCUAGUUGGCGGGGUAAAGGCCCACCAAGGCGACGAUCCGUAGCUGGUCUGAGAGGAUGAUCAGCCACACUGGAACUGAGACACGGUCCAGACUCCUACGGGAGGCAGCAGAGGGGAAUAUUGGACAAUGGGCGCAAGCCUGAUCCAGCCAUACCGCGUGGGUGAAGAAGGCCUUCGGGUUGUAAAGCCCUUUUGUUGGGAAAGAAAAGCAGCAGGUUAAUACCCCGCUGUUCUGACGGUACCCAAAGAAUAAGCACCGGCUAACUUCGUG